GACGAACGCUGGCGGCGUGCUUAACACAUGCAAGUCGAACGGAAAGGCCCUGCUUUUGUGGGGUGCUCGAGUGGCGAACGGGUGAGUAACACGUGAGUAACCUGCCCUUGACUUUGGGAUAACUUCAGGAAACUGGGGCUAAUACCGGAUAGGAGCUCCUGCUGCAUGGUGGGGGUUGGAAAGUUUCGGCGGUUGGGGGUGGACUCGCGGCUUAUCAGCUUGUUGGUGGGGUAGUGGCUUACCAAGGCUUUGACGGGUAGCCGGUCUGAGAGGGUGACCGGCCACAUUGGGACUGAGAUACGGCCCAGACUCCUACGGGAGGCAGCAGUGGGGAAUAUUGCACAAUGGGCGGAAGCCUGAUGCAGCAACGCCGCGUGCGGGAUGACGGCCUUCGGGUUGUAAACCGCUUUCGCCUGUGACGAAGCGUGAGUGACGGUAAUGGGUAAAGAAGCACCGGCUAACUACGUG
rnacentral:rRNA from 1 species